CUUUCCACAAGUUGCAAGGUGGGUGAGGAGGAAGCACAGAAGUUGUGUGGGGUAGAAAAAGCCUGGGGAAAAUGGUGCCUUUAGGCCACCCAUCACGUGCCUCAAGUUCCAAAGAAUGUGAACAGCAGGAAAAGAGAUUUGCCCUCUCCCCACUGUCAUACAUGUGACAGUAGAAAGCUGAAGAUUUGAGCCAGAAACUGGUCACCUUUUUAUUUUACCUGAAGGUAAAACCUGACCCAAUUCAUCAAUAUUCUCUCAAGCUUCCUUGACCAGGAGCCCAGAGUUAGAAGAUGCUUGCUGCCCCUUCGCAUUUCAUUAGGAUUGUAAGUUUCCUGAGGCUUCCCCAGCCAUACAGAACUGAGCUGGGGAUACAGCAGUGAACUUUUGGUGGAGCUUGUAUUCCAGUGAAGAGAAGACAGACAUCAAAGCAUACGCUAUAUAGGAAACAUGGUUGGGAGGCCUCUGGAAACAUACAAUGAUAGCAGAAGGCAAAGGAGAAGCAGGCACAUCCUACAUGGCGGGAGCAGGAGGAAGAGAGAGAAGAGGUGGGUGCUACAGACU
rnacentral:lncRNA from 1 species